UACGAAGGGUGCAAGCGUUAAUCGGAAUUACUGGGCGUAAAGCGCGCGUAGGUGGUUCAGUAAGUUGGAAGUGAAAUCCCCGGGCUCAACCUGGGAACUGCUUUCAAAACUGCUGAGCUAGAGUAUGGCAGAGGGUGGUGGAAUUUCCUGUGUAGCGGUGAAAUGCGUAGAUAUAGGAAGGAACACCAGUGGCGAAGGCGACCACCUGGGCUAAUACUGACGCUGAGGUACGAAAGCAUGGGGAGCAAACAGG
rnacentral:rRNA from 1 species